rnacentral:tRNA from 1 species
GGAGAAGUACCCAAGUCUGGCUGAAGGGGGCGCACUCGAAAUGCGCUAGGGCGGGUAUCCCCGUCGCGUGAGUUCGAAUCUCACCUUCUCCG